AUUGAACGCUGGCGGCAGGCCUAACACAUGCAAGUCGAGCGGAGCGGCGGACGGGUGAGUAAUGCCUAGGACUCUGCCUGUUAGUGGGGGAUAACGUCCGGAAACGGGCGCUAAUACCACAUACUAUCAGAUGAGCCUAGGACGGAUUAGCGAGUUGGUGGGGUAAAGGCCUACCAAGGCGACGAUCCGGAACUGGUCUGCGAGGAUGAUCAGGACCACUUGAACUGAGAAACGGUCCAGACUCCUACGGGAGGCAGCAGUGGGGAAUAUUGGAACAGGGGCGAAAGCCUGAUCCAGCCAUGCCGCGUGGAUGAAGAAGGUCUUCGGGUUGUAAAGCACGUUAAGUUGGGAGGCGUUACCAACAGAAUAAGCACCGGCUAACUUCGUGCCAGCAGCCGCGGUAAUAC
rnacentral:rRNA from 1 species